rnacentral:lncRNA from 1 species
AGUACCGGUCGCCGUGUUCGCCGCUGCUCUCCGCCGUUUCGGGAACGGGGUAGUCCACCGAAGGGGGACAUCUUGAAGAGAAGCAGCUCGACCUAGCGAUGCAGUUGUUGAUUUUGGUCAUCGCCUGUGAGGGCAGCAUCCGAGCGUAAGAGGAAUCUAGGAGCCGUAUCGAAAAGAGGUGGAAGCAAUGAUAGCAAAUGCUGACAAAGAGCAAAGCCGGACGAGUGGUUUUUUGCGCUUAGUCCCUAAGGGGCGGGCUGAAACGAGGAAGCAAAAAUGCAGCAGCGGACCCUCGAUCUCCCCAGAAGCUGCGGCAGUAGGAGGCGUUCUGGCCUGGGUAACUAAGAUUCAUUGCCACGGCUGA